rnacentral:misc_RNA from 1 species
GUUGCGUCACGGGUCGAUUUAUUCACGACUUAUGAGUGACAAUAUGCUCGAUGUCGAAGGCAUUGUAACCCAACAAGUGGGGAGUUCGAUUUGGUUGGGACAAAUCGAACGAUCUGCGGUAGCAGCGACAAGGGCAUGGUGUGGAUACAAGUUGAGCCAUGCCAGGAUGUUGUUGUUACUUCGUGAUGCUGAUGAGAUUUGUCAGUUGUUGUGGUGAUGUCUAGUUGUAUGUAGAUCUUAGUUUAACUUUGAUCUUAGUUUUACGCUUAACUGGUAUCUUCAUGAGGCGUGCACUCUUGGUCCGAUUGUAUGGCAUGCUGUUGUUUGUAUAUGUUUGCCUUACGAUCGGAUUGUUGUGUUACCGAUGACAUGAUUUGGCUUGUUAAUCGUGGAUGACAAUUUGACGUUGUUUCAACUGUUGAUGAAUGUUGUUGCAAGGGUUCCUUGAACUGCUGCGUUGUUGGUGAUGACAUUCGUCUUGAGGUGAUGCGGUGUCAUGUUGCCUGUGUAUCCUGGUUUGGAGCAACUGAGCUUGUAACAUGUGGAUUAUCGGUUAGUGACACGGCAUCGCUCCCUUGGUUGAUGAAAGUCGUCCAAUGAUGCGGUGGUUUGUUUGUUUUCUUCUCGCAUCGCUCGGUGCAUUCUGAGGUCAUUUUGGCUGUUGGUAGCUUGCUUGGCAAUUGAGCUUGGUGGGUUGCUGCUGGUUGGGUGUCUUCGGGGAUGUCUACCGUAAAGGUGCAUGAGUGGUGUUUGGUUUGUUACGGGUGGUUGGCUCUUUGCUUGCGCAACAACUUCUACCCGGCAUACCUCUUCAGUCUUGUGUCAAUGCUUGUCUUGCAUUGAGUGCACGGUGGGUUUCUUGUGUUGCAUUCCUAAUUAAUGGUAUCGUUUGAUGAAAUGGUUUUCCUUUCGUCUUGCUUCACCUAUGUGAUGUGAGGUGAACCUUGAAGCAGCCUUUGUGAUCCACUCUUUUGAUGCAUACGCAUUGAUUUUGUGGCCCAUUGAGUGUUGCUUGGUCUCAUGGAUAUGGAACCUGGUGUGGGCAUGGAAUCUUAAUGGUUCCUUGUUUGCCCAAGUUUAGCUUCUCUAAAACGAUUGUCU